UAGAUACCCUGUUAUUCCAAUAAUAAAAUUUUAAUACUUGAGUAGUAAAUAGUUAUAAUCUAUAAACUUAAAGAAUUUGGCGGUAUUUUAGUCUAAUUAGAGGAGCCUGUUCUGUAAAUGAUGUAACACGUGGAAUUUUUCUUUUUUUUGUAAAAACAGUUUGUAUACCGUCAUUAAUAAAUAAUUUAUUUAAAAGGGUAUUAAGAGAGAUUAAUUAUCUAGUAUAUUAGAUCAGGGUGCAGCUAAUAAAAAAGUGUGAAAUGGGUUACAAUAAAAUUAAUUUAUGACGGAUUUGGUAAAUGAAAUAGUUUUAAUAAAGGUGGAUUUAAAAGUAAAUAUAUUUUUAGAGAGAUAUAUUGAUUAUAGCUCUGAAAUGUGUACAAAUUGCCC
rnacentral:rRNA from 1 species